UUGCUAGCUUGCUAAUAAUUCUCUAGUGGCGCACGGGUGAGUAACACGUGAGUAACCUGCCUCACACUGGGGGAUAACAGUUAGAAAUAGCUGCUAAUACCGCAUAAGCGCACGGUUCCGCAUGGAACAGUGUGAAAAACUCCGGUGGUGUGAGAUGGACCCGCGUCUGAUUAGCCAGUUGGCGGGGUAACGGCCCACCAAGACAGCGAUCAGUAGCCGGCCUGAGAGGGUGACCGGCCACAUUGGGACUGAGACACGGCCCAAACUCC
rnacentral:rRNA from 1 species